GAUAAUAGAAAGAUAGAGUUAUUUUAGAGAGAGAGAGAGAAGAGAGAUACGGUGGAAGGACCAUGGUUUCUAGUGGUGAACCCGGCUGCGCACGGCAGCCCUCUCACUUCCGACGCAUAAACGACCGCCAUGGCGGCGGUGAGUUGUAGAGUUGUACUUCAGGUGAAGUCCGGCCAGUCUCCGGCGAAGAUCCGAUCGGGUAUGGAGCUCAUGGCUUGUAUUGGCGGCUAGCGUUCCAGUUUAGGGGUUUUGAAACCAGAUCGUGUUUGGAGACAACCUUCACGAUGUGUUAGUGUUUUGUGCAUAGGGACUUCCAGUUUCACAACCCAAAAUAACCCUAAACGUCGUGAGCGAACCGACCACCAUCGUCCUCCUCUUACGGUUCAUCUUCUUCGUCUUUCCACGACUAUGAGAUACUAUAGUUGGAGAACUUUCGGCCGACAAAGUCAAAUACAAACUCAAAUACAUCGUCGGAAACGCUAAUGUAGUCUACAGGCUCAAAACAACAAGAGGCGAUGAGCAGUCUUGCAUAUCCCGUGUUUUCUACAACUUUACAAGAAGCAAGAAAAUGGCGAAGGCUCGAUCAAGAGUAAUGGAUAAACGAAAGAAGGGUGCUGCAUGUGAAAGCACAUUUGGCUUUAGAAAGCGCGCCUGAGGCGCGCCAUCAGGUAACACGAAUGACGGCGUGCACAAAUGUAGAUGGAGAAUAUUAACAUAGAUGAUAGGCCAUUGUAAUCAAGCUGUAUAAAGCCAAAAAAAUGUCAUAUUAUUCCACUGUAAAUCUUAAAUACAUCUUUCAACCUGUUCAAAUUUGUAUAUCAUGUUUUUUUGGAUGUGUU
rnacentral:lncRNA from 1 species